UACAGAGGGUGCGAGCGUUAAUCGGAAUUACUGGGCGUAAAGCGUGCGUAGACGGUUCGUAAGUCGGGUGUGAAAUCCCCGGGCUCAACCUGGGAACUGCAUCUGUGACUGCAUCGCUGGAGUGCGGCAGAGGGGAUGGAAUUCCGCGUGUAGCAGUGAAAUGCGUAGAGUAUGGCGGAGGAACACCGAUGGCGAAGGCAAUCCC
rnacentral:rRNA from 1 species